GCAUUGGUGGUUCAGUGGUAGAAUUCUCAUCUCCCAUGUGGGAAACCUGGUUUCAAUUCCCAGCCAAUGCA
rnacentral:tRNA from 1 species